rnacentral:tRNA from 1 species
UCGGGGGUCGUCUAGUGGCAGGACUCUGGCCUUUGAAGCCAAGGACCGAGGUUCGAACCCUCGCCCCCGAG